GUGCUCGCUUCGGCAGCACAUAUACUAAAAUUGGAACGAUACAGAGAAGAUUAGCAUGGCCCCUGCACAAGGAUGACAAAUGCUGCUGAAGAACUGGAGUUU